rnacentral:rRNA from 1 species
GGCGGCCUAACCAUGCAAGUCGAGCGGAAACGAAGAGGUGCUUGCACCUCUGGCGUCGAGCGGCGGACGGGUGAGUAAUGCUUGGGAAUAUGCCUUAUGGUGGGGGACAACAGUUGGAAACGACUGCUAAUACCGCAUGAUGUCUACGGACCAAAGUGGGGGACCUUCGGGCCUCACGCCAUAAGAUUAGCCCAAGUGGGAUUAGCUAGUUGGUGAGGUAAUGGCUCACCAAGGCGACGAUCCCUAGCUGGUUUGAGAGGAUGAUCAGCCACACUGGGACUGAGACACGGCCCAGACUCCUACGGGAGGCAGCAGUGGGGAAUAUUGCACAAUGGGCGCAAGCCUGAUGCAGCCAUGCCGCGUGUGUGAAGAAGGCCUUCGGGUUGUAAAGCACUUUCAGUAAGGAGGAAAGGUUAAGUGUUAAUAGCACUUAGCUGUGACGUUACUUACAGAAGAAGCACCGGCUAACUCCGUGCCAGCAGCCGCGGUAAUACGGAGGGUGCGAGCGUUAAUCGGAAUUACUGGGCGUAAAGCGUACGCAGGCGGUUUGUUAAGCGAGAUGUGAAAGCCCCGGGCUCAACCUGGGAACUGCAUUUCGAACUGGCAAACUAGAGUGUGAUAGAGGGUGGUAGAAUUUCAGGUGUAGCGGUGAAAUGCGUAGAGAUCUGAAGGAAUACCGAUGGCGAAGGCAGCCACCUGGGUCAACACUGACGCUCAUGUACGAAAGCGUGGGGAGCAAACAGGAU